rnacentral:lncRNA from 1 species
UCAGCUAUUCCAUGGCUUUUCGUGUGGACAAAUCGGGAGGUGGUGUAAACUGGUUUUUGGUGAAAUUCGGCUCGGCCUCAUGCGAACCUAUCUAGGUCCGUCUCUGGAGUGGCCUGUCAUCGAUCGCGCCCUCCAUCGCUGAGCGACACAAGUGGAACCCCCCAGGACUGCAUUCUGCUUUUGGUCUGUGAACACAUUUGGGAAAUUCUUCUGAUCCUACCGCUACUCUCUUGAGAGAGAGAGAAACAAGGGAAAAAAAAGUUAAUUGCCUGAGGAUAUACUGCUAGUGUUGCGGGACAAAUAGAGACGGGAGAGGCCAAACAGAAUUCAGGACAACCCUUUAUUAUUAAGGUGAUCACUGGCUCAGUCGGACUGGGGUCCAGAAAGUCUGAGCCCGGAACAAAGGGAUCAAUCACCUUUUAAGCAAUUUGUGGCGGGAGUUUGGUGCUACAGGAAGCCUACUUGCAGAAGCAAGAACAAAGGCAGUUAAUUAUUCUUUUACAUUUGUUACACCACAUGUCUUACAUCCUUGGGAAUGCAUGCUUUUGUAGCAAUUGCUUAUCAACCUUGUGACUUUACAGCGCGCUAGGGAGGGAAGCAGGAACUCGUGG